CUAAUACAUACAUCACCGACUCAUUACACUCUCCUCUCUCACAAUACACUUUUCUCUCUCUCUUCCGAUGCUCGACGGCCGACGCUCGACUCGUCUGCUCAGAUCAUUCCUGUCACUGAAUCUUCGGCGAUCCACGACCACCAGCGUACCGGUCGGUCACCUCUCUGUCUACGCUGGAAACGAAAUGGAGCGGUUAAUUCGAGCUGAUAAAUCACCUAAUCUUCAUCCAAUUGCUCAACAAAUCGGCUCAAGUGUGUGGUUACAAGCAGAAAGGCGUGCUUCGGACCCCUGCGACGUCGUCUGCUUCGAGAGAGUUGAAUUAGGGCGUUGAGAAGCUGAAUGCAUUUAAGUGGAUGACUGGAGUCUGGAUGGUGGUAUUCUGGUGUGCCAUCACGUUCCUCUUAAGAUUGCGGAUGUGGGUCUCGGAAUCUCGGUCUCUGGGAAGGGCUUUUACUGUGCAUCUGUGCCUCUUAAGAGUUAUACUCAUGAGGACCUAUUUGUGAUUGACUUGUCUCUGGAGCCAUCUUUGUAAUAAUUAUUGUCCAGCGUUACACUAGACUAAAAAAUUAUAGCUAUUGUAACGAAAUAAAGGUAACGUUUCAAAACAAACGUUACAUAUGGGCACUUAUGGCGUAGUAAAGUAACAUGCCUGCCAAGUGAAGAAAGAUUGGGAGAAGAAAGAAUGAGAUACAAAGUGAAGAUUAUUUAUGUUAUUGAUCUGUAUGAACUUCAUGAAGGAAGAAAACAUAGCUGUUAGAAAUUGGUUGUCAAUUUUGCCCUUACAGAUAGCCGUUUUAUAGCUGUUAGAAGGGUAAAAUAUGUAAAUAACAAUAAUAUCUCUUUUGGCAAAUCACAUGGAUGGAAAGCUGAAAAGUGGAACCUGGAAGCCUGCAGCGUGCACAUAUUCACAUGGAGCAGCAGGCCAUCAAUGCAUCACAACAUUAUUUUAUAUUUGUGUAAUUAAUAACUAUAGGUGUGUAUUAUAUUGUCCACUGUUGUAAUGACUAAUAAUUGUAGAUUGCACAGGCUCUGUACAAUGUAGUAUAUUAAGAGCAUCUCCAAUAGUCUCUUAACUCGCUCCUAAAUAUAAUAUAAAAUAUUGACUCUUAGUGAUUUA